GGCCCGGAGUUGGGCCGGGACGGGAUCCAGGAGGCCCCUGAGCCGGAGCAGGCAGCGCCUGGAGACCACAGGCCGUUCGCCCGCCUCAGGCCGGUCGGCCGCCGCUCCCCUCCCUGCUCCCUGUUCCCGGCAGGGCCAGAGAGGCCGCAGCCUCCGCCCGGUGGUUCUCGGGCGAAGGGAAGUCGCGAAGCAGGUCCCGGGGCAGAGCUCGCCUGCUCCUGAGGGAAGCGGCGAUAAGAUGGCGGUUUGAAGGGGAGCCGGAGGCCGAGUCACUCUGCUCGUCGGUACGCCGCCUUUCUAACGCCGCCGCCGGCUCGCACCACUCUGGGCCUACUGCCCACACUGACUGCGGGGUCCGGGAGAGCGGGAUGCUGGCCGGCCGCGCCUGGCUUCUUGGAAAGAGCAGGAAGGAGCGCGAGAAUGCAGUUCCGCGGCAGAAACCUCUGUAGAGAAGCAGGAUGCAACCGACAGGCUGUGGCCGGACAGCUGCUGCCCAGCACAUGGAGCCGCACGAGCACGAUUUGGCCAAAGAAGCCCCCAUACUCCCGGUGAAAAAGGCAAAUUUCCAGAAGCUGUUCUGUCAAUAACAAAGUCUCAAAACCACAAAACCACCAACACUAAGAUCAUUCUUGAGUCCAAUUUGAAAAACUAGGGUCAAGUUCUGCAGAGGCAUUGAAAGGACAAGAUACCACCCUAAUACCCAUCGUGUGAGGGAAAAUGCUCUAUUCACUAUUCCUCAGCUUCUGCUUCUGGUUUCAGAGUUCUCGCUAUAUUGGAGGGUGUUUUAAAGCUAGAGUGGUCUUUAUCCACUUUUAUUAACACAUCUGAAUGUGAAGGUCAAGAGAGGAAAGUGAUAUGUCCUAAGUCAGAGUAGAGUCAACAAGAAAAUAAGACAAACAGCGACUGAGCCCCUGAUGUAUACUGGGCAUUGGCGAGCUACUGGGGAUAUGGAGAUGAAGAAAACGUAAUCCCUUCUUCAAGGAGCCCAACCUACCAAGGUAGACAGACAUAUAGACAAAUAGAUACUUGCAUAGAAAAAAAGAGGAAAAGGGGAUCAGUGUGACCUGUGUAACUAAGUACCUUAUACAACCCUCCUGCAACAGAUCAUAUUGCCCUUUAUAGUAGGGAUGGUAAUCCCAUCUCUGAAUUCCACAUGUGCUUUGCAGUCAUACCACACCCAUGUGUCUGUUGGUCCUGACUGUACCAUUUAUAAACAGCUUCACUUUCAGCAGUUCUCAGCCCUCUUAAGCUAGGGUCAUUGUCAGUAGGGAUACUGCUUCACAAGCGUCAGCAGAACACCAAAGGAGACCGUAUGGGUGAAAGCAACCAACACUGCCCUGGCACUUCAUAGGUUCUUAGAGUUUUCAUCUUUUACUUUCAGUCUAACACAGCACUGCCUGCUUUUUGUUUUUGUUGCUUGGUUUGUUUCUUUCUUACCGUGUUCACCAAACUUGUGUCCAAAUAGCUUUGGGCUGAUGCAAGAAUAUCUAUGUGGAAGAGAAAGAAGAGUUGUUCUCAUGGAGGGCCUUCAGAUGAGUGCUAUAGACACUCUAGGCAACUCUCCAAGAGGCUUCUCAAGCAGGGUGGGCAGUGAGAGCUGCUGUGGAAUCAAUGGACAAACAUUGACAGGGACUGCUUUGAAAGAGUACUCAGUUGAGUAUAUAUAUUCUCUCUUAAGGGCUAAAAGUUUAUAAUCAUCCCUUAAACACUGUGAUGCGAUCUUUUG
rnacentral:sRNA from 1 species